rnacentral:rRNA from 1 species
UACGUAGGGUGCGAGCGUUAAUCGGAAUUACUGGGCGUAAAGCGUGCGCAGGCGGUUCGUUAUGUCCGAUGUGAAAGCCCCGAGCUCAACUUGGGAAUUGCGCUUGUGACUGGCGUGCUGGAGUGUGGCAGAGGGAGGUGGAAUUCCACGUGUAGCAGUGAAAUGCGUAGAGAUGUGGAGGAACACCGAUGGCGAAGGCAGCCUCCUGGGCCAGCACUGACGCUCAUGCACGAAAGCGUGGGGAGCAAACAGG